rnacentral:lncRNA from 10 species
CUGGGUGAGCACACAGAUGCGCAGGACAGAAAUUCCUCCCCACACAGUGACUAUUCCUCUGCGGAGCUGUUGAAGAAAGAAGUGCACUCCUGCUCCUGAAGCUGUCGCACAAAUACCCUAUGCUGGGACAUCACAGCCACUUCACAGAUGGAGUCUCGCUCUGUCCCCAAGGCUGCAAUGGCGCGAUCUCGGCUCACUGCAACUUCUGCCUCCAGUGUUCAACUGAUUCUCCUAUCCCAGCCUCCUAAGUAGCUGGGAUUACAGGCGCAAACCACCACACCCGGGUAAUUUUUGUAUUUUUAGUAGAGAUGGGGUUUCACCAUGAUGGCCAGGCUGGUGUCGAACUCCUGACCUCAGGUGAUCCACCUGCCUCAGCCCUGCAAAGUGCUAGUAUUACAGGCGUGAGCCACCGCACCCAGCCAUCAGUAAUUUUGUUUUAAGAGUGGUUGGCUAUCCAGGAGUUGGAAUAACAGGUGGAUUUUUCUUUCCUUCUCACAUAUUUGUAUAUUACCAUAAUUGUUAACAAUGAUUUAGUUUUAU